rnacentral:rRNA from 1 species
AGAGUGAACGCUGGCGGCAGGCCUAACACAUGCAAGUCGAGCGGCAGCGCAGUCGUAGCAAUACGAUGGGCGGCGAGCGGCGGACGGGUGAGGAACACAUCGGAAUCUACCCUGUCGUGGGGGACAACGUAGGGAAACUUACGCUAAUACCGCAUACGACCUUUGGGUGAAAGUGGGGGACCGCAAGGCCUCACGCGAUUGGAUGAGCCGAUGUCCGAUUAGCUAGUUGGCGGGGUAAUGGCCUACCAUGGCACCGACGGGUAGCUGGUCUGAGAGGACGAUCAGCCACACUGGGACUGAGACACGGCCCAGACUCCUACGGGAGGCAGCAGUGGGGAAUCUUGCGCAAUGGCGAAAGCCUGACGCAGCAACGCCGCGUGUGGGACGAAGGGCCUUACUGGGUUGUAAACCACUUUCAGCAGGGACGAUUGUGACGGUACCUGCAGGAAGAAGCCCCGGCAACUACGUGCCAGCAGCCGC